AAUCAAGUGUAGUGGAGUGAGGUGGAGAAAAACCGAGAAUGGAGAUAGCUGAGUGGAACGAGGUACCUGAAUUUCGCGAGGAAUUUCGUGAAGCGGAUUCCGACGGAGAAGAUCGACGUGAACGAAACGAUUUUAACAUCGAGAGAGCUGUAAUGGAUUUCGUUGAUGAAGAUCCUGUUCGUCACAACAUCUAUCCUGAGACAGAUGAUGAAGACGACAAAGUGCAACAGACAAUUAUAAUUCAAAGGAGGCGCACAGGGUUGGAAAGAGGUGAUGGGAACUUGUAUGAAGGUCAAAUUUUCUUCAGUGGAAUAGCGUUUAAGGAAGCCGUCCUUGACUACGCUCUGAAAACAGGCCGAAACAUCUCUCAGAAAAGGUGGGAUAAAGACAAACUCACCUUCAAAUGUGAAGGAAAAAAUGAAGAAGAAACUUGUGAUUGGAGGAUUUACUGUUCCACGACAGGGAAGACUUUGAAGUGGCAAGUGAAAGUUUUCAAUAGUGUGCAUAGCUGUGUUCCAAAUGGACGUGUUGAGAUGGUAAAAGUUUCUGUGAUUGCUCGUCUAUUCGUUGAUAAGAUUAGAGAGGAGCCUGAAUAUUUUAUGCCUAUGAAAAUCGAAGAGUUAGUGUUGGAGAAAUGGAAUAUCAGUGUGUCAAGGUCUCAGUGUCAAGCUGCUAGAAACAAAGCGAUUAGAUGGAUUCAGAGAGAGUAUGAUGAGCAAUUUGCACGUCUUCGGGAUUACGGUCGUGAGAUUCUAGACUCCAACAAAGGAUCCACUGUGGUGAUUGAAUGUCUGCAAAACGAAAAAGGUUUAGAUGUAUUCAACAGGUUUUAUGUAUGUUUUGAUGUGCUUAGGAAAACCUGGAAAAAGACUUGUAGGCCGCUUAUAGGACUUGAUGGAUGCCACUUAAGAUCGAGGAAAAAAGGUCAGAUAUUGGUUGCUAUGGGUCGAGAUACGGAUAAUGCUAUUUAUCCAAUAGCAUGGGCGGUGGUGCAAUCUGAAACCAAAGACAAUUGGUUGUGGUUUGUGAAGAAUAUCAAAGCCGAUUUGGAUUUAGGAGAUGGCGAUGGAUAUAUAAUGGUCUCAGAUAGGCAUAGGGUAAAUGUGUUUGAUUUUGGUGAUGGUGUUUACACUUAUUUCUAGUCACUAUUAAUCGUCGGUUGUGUUUGAUCUGGUUUUUUUUUUCAGGGACUAAUAGCAGCUGUUCAACUAGAGCUUCCACUUAUCGAGCAUAGGAAUUGUGUGAGGCACAUCUAUGCUAACUUGAGAGCAUUGAAUGGAAAAAGGCCAGAGAUGAAGAAGCUGAUUUGGCGUCUUGCAUGGAGCUACAACAAAGCAGAAUUUGAAGAGAAUAAAGAUAAGAUUUCCUGCUAUGACUCAGUGGUGUUUGUGAGUGUGAUGAAGACUAAACCAGAAACUUGGUGUAGAGCCUUCUACAAGUUAGGCCACUACUGUGAAGAUGUGGAAAAUAACUCGACGGAGUCAUGGAAUGCUUCUAUCGUAAAAGCCAGAGACAAACCAUUUGUGCCGAUGCUAGAGACAAUUGCAAGGUUAGCGAUGGUUCGUAUUGCCAAAAGAGGUUUUAUAUCUUUGAACUGGAAAAGUAAGUGCACACCGUAUGUUAUUGACUACCUAGCAGAAGAGUAUGAGACAGCUAAAGAUUGUACGGUUAAUAUAUCUACAAAUUACACAUAUGAUGUUAGAGCUAGUGGAUGUUCUUACCGUGUGCGCAUGCAAGAUAGAACUUGUACUUGCAGGAGAUGGGAGAUCACAGGCAUUCCUUGUGAGCAUGCCUACGCUGUGAUUAUCAAGAAGAACCUUGACGCUGAGGAUUUUGUGUGCCACUGGUUUAUGACCGCAAUGUGGAGGAAGACAUAUACUGAUGGGAUAGUUCCAUUGAGGGGAGCAAGGUUUUGGCCUGUAGGAGAAGAACCAUCGGUGCAUAUGCCUCCGUCGCCACUACAUCCUGGUCGAAAGAAAGGAGAAACAUAUAGAGUUAGUAAGAAGGAGAAACAAAGGAAAAAAGGGAAAAAUGAAUCUCCUGUGAAGAAGGCACCAGUACUUUUAAAGAGGGUAAUGCAUUGUAAAAUCUGUGGUUUAGCUAAUCACAACUCAAGAUUUCAUAAGAAGAAAGGCAAACAGGGUGCUGUAGGUGAAUCUUCUCAGGCUGAACCUUCUCAAGGCGCUCUCACACAGCUUGUGGACUGAUCUGUUUUAUGAGCUUAUCAACGCAUUUCUCAGAUGGAUGUUUUUUGGGUUUAAGAAGCUAUUUGCUUUGUUGGUUUUUGUCUAUGUGAAAGCUUCUUAAAGACAGUUGGAUUUUUUUUAUGUCUUUUGAAUGAUUCUAAUGUUAUUGAUUAGACAAACCAGAUUUUAUU